rnacentral:rRNA from 1 species
AGAGUUUGAUCCUGGCUCAGAUUGAACGCUGGCGGCAUGCCUUACACAUGCAAGUCGAACGGCAGCGGGGACUUCGGUCCGCCGGCGAGUGGCGAACGGGUGAGUAAAGUAUCGGAACGUACCUUUCAGUGGGGGAUAACGUAGCGAAAGUUACGCUAAUACCGCAUAUUCUGUGAGCAGGAAAGCAGGGGAUCGCAAGACCUUGCGCUGAUUGAGCGGCCGAUAUCAGAUUAGCUAGUUGGUGGGGUAAAGGCCUACCAAGGCGACGAUCUGUAGCGGGUCUGAGAGGAUGAUCCGCCACACUGGAACUGAGACACGGUCCAGACUCCUACGGGAGGCAGCAGUGGGGAAUUUUGGACAAUGGGGGCAACCCUGAUCCAGCCAUGCCGCGUGAGUGAAGAAGGCCUUCGGGUUGUAAAGCUCUUUCGGCGGGGAAGAAAUCGCACAGGUUAAUACCCUGUGUGGAUGACGGUACCCGAAUAAGAAGCACCGGCUAACUACGUGCCAGCAGCCGCGGUAAU